ensembl:processed_transcript uncharacterized LOC110332893
ACAAGUCAGAUGCAGGCAUGAGGACAGAUGGAGAAACGUCACAGAGCCGUCAUUUCUGGAAAUCGACUCAGAGUAGGGGAUCUCAGCUGACAGAGCUAUGCAUUCAAGCUCCCUAACACAGGCUUGAGCAGUUCCUCCCUGAAACCAGCAUUGGUUGUCGGGGUCUCCUAGCAGUAAUGUUUUCCUCAUGCUAUAUGAUUGACCUUUACAGGGUCAGUAAGUUCAGAUAGACAGUCUCCAUGGCCUAAGUUAAGGAAAAACAGGCAACAUUACCAUACCCACAUUUGUCUGAGCCUUGCUGUUCAUCAUAGGAUCCAAGGAGAGAAUCAGAAGCCUCAAAACAAGAGACUUACAAUAGUUUUGUACUUUUUCACUUUGAAAAUACUGAGGUUCUGAGUGGGACUGACUAGCAUGGAUCUGUGGAUUUAGUAGUUUACACACUCUUGAAGUCCCUACUUUUUACUUGGUAGAGGCAAGCACACACAGGAUCAUGCUAAAGAGAAACAUAUACUAGAAAGAACAUAGAAGAAUAUGAGGAGACUAGGAACAGGAGGUGACAUGAGCUAGAUGGAGCAUGAAGGAUGGGAGUCAUGAGACACUUGCACGGAAGACUGUUCCAGCCAGUCCUGGCGUCAGAGGAGCGCACAUGCAAGGCCCCCUUGACCUCACGUCUCCCUGUGCUCUUCUAACAAAAAUAAAAAGAAAUUCAAAGAGCUCUCUAGAAGAGGAGUGCCCUCUUAACAUU